AGCUCCAAUAGCGUAUAUUAAAGUUGUUGCAGUUAAAAAGCUCGUAGUUGGAUUUCUGGCGUCGCCGCCCGGUCGGCCUCGAAAGGGGUUCGCACUCGUUGGCGCGCGUCGCCAUCCUCGGGGGAAGGCCGCCUGGCAUUAAGUUGUCGGGCGGUCGACGCUCGUCGUUUACUGUGAACAAAUUAGAGUGUUCAAAGCAGGCUUAGGCCGUUGAAUACAUUAGCAUGGAAUAAUGAGAUAGGACUUUGGUGGUCUAUUUUGUUGGUUUGCACGCCGAAGUAAUGAUUAAUAGGGGCGGUUGGGGGUAUUCGUAUUCAAUUGUCAGAGGUGAAAUUCUUGGAUUUAUGGAAGACGAACUACUGCGAAAGCAUUUACCAAGGAUGUUUUCAUUAAUCAAGAA
rnacentral:rRNA from 1 species